rnacentral:misc_RNA from 1 species
GAUGAAGAACGUAGCGAAAUGCGAUAAGUAGUGUGAAUUGCAGAAUUCAGUGAAUCAUCGAAUCUUUGAACGCACAUUGCGCCCCUUGGUAUUCCAUGGGGCAUGCCUGUUCGAGCCUCAUUUGUACCUUCAAGCUCUGCUUGGUGUUGGGUGUUUGUCUCGCCUCUGCGUGUAGACUCGCCUCAAAACAAUUGGCAGCCGGCGUAUUGAUUUCGGAGCGCAGUACAUCUCGCGCUUUGCACUCAUAACGACGACGUCCAAAAGUACAUUUUUACACUCUUGACCUCGGAUCAGGUAGGGAUACCCGCUGAACUUAAGCAUAUCAAUAAGCGGAGGA